rnacentral:rRNA from 1 species
CGGCGGACGGGUGAGUAACACGUGGGCAACCUGCCUGUAAGACUGGGAUAACUUCGGGAAACCGGAGCUAAUACCGGAUAAUCCUUUCCCUCACAUGAGGGAAAGCUGAAAGUCGGUUUCGGCUGACACUUACAGAUGGGCCCGCGGCGCAUUAGCUAGUUGGUGAGGUAACGGCUCACCAAGGCGACGAUGCGUAGCCAACCUGAGAGGGUGAUCGGCCACACUGGGACUGAGACACGGCCCAAACUCCUACGGGAGGCAGCAGUAGGGAAUCUUCCGCAAUGGACGAAAGUCUGACGGAGCAACGCCGCGUGAGCGAUGAAGGCCUUCGGGUCGUAAAGCUCUGUUGUUAGGGAAGAACAAGUACCGGAGUAACUGCCGGUACCUUGACGGUACCUAACCAGAAAGCCACGGCUAACUACGUGCCAGCAGCCGCGGUAAUACGUAGGUGGCAAGCGUUGUCCGGAAUUAUUGGGCGUAAAGCGCGCGCAGGCGGUCCUUUAAGUCUGAUGUGAAAGCCCACGGCUCAACCGUGGAGGGUCAUUGGAAACUGGGGGACUUGAGUGCAGAAAAGGAAAGCGGAAUUCCACGUGUAGCGGUGAAAUGCGUAGAGAUGUGGAGGAACACCAGUGGCGAAGGCGGCUUUCUGGUCUGUAACUGACGCUGAGGCGCGAAAGCGUGGGGAGCAAACAGGAUUAGAUACCCUGGUAGUCCACGCCGUAAACGAUGAGUGCUAAGUGUUAGAGGGUUUCCGCCCUUUAGUGCUGCAGCUAACGCAUUAAGCACUCCGCCUGGGGAGUACGGCCGCAAGGCUGAAACUCAAAGGAAUUGA